UCACUGAUUUUAGAGAUGCCUCCCUCCCUGUGGGUGACAGGGUGGGUUACCGUCAGGUGUCCUUGGGAACUUCUCACCCAGCCUUCAUUUUAUUCUCUCAGGAAUUUAUUUUGAGCCACGCUGUGACCCCGAAGGUCUGGAUCAUGCUAUGCUGCUGGUUGGCUACAGCUAUGAAGGAGCAGACUCAGAUAACAAUAAAUAUUGGCUGGUGAAGAACAGCUAGGGUAAAAACUGGGGCAUGGAUGGCUACAUAAAGAUGGCCAAAGACCGGAGGAACAACUGUGGAAUUGCCACAGCAGCCAGCUACCCCACUGUGUGAGCUGAUGGAUGGUGAUGAGGAAGAACUUGACUGAGGAUGGCACAUCCAAAGGAGGAAUUUAUCUUCAAUCUACCAGCCCCUGCUGUGUGGAAUGCGCACUUCAAUCAUUGAAGAUCCAAGUGUGAUUGGAAUUCUGAUAUUUUCACACUGGUAAAUGUUACCUGUAUUUUAA
rnacentral:lncRNA from 1 species